UACGGAGGGUGCAAGUGUUAUUCGGAAUCACUGGGCGUAAAGAGCACGUAGGCGGAUGGGUAAGUCAGAUGUGAAAUCCCGGGGCUCAACUUCGGAACUGCAUUUGAUACUGCCCGUCUUGAGUGUGGUAGAGGGGGAUGGAAUUCCCGGUGUAGAGGUGAAAUUCGUAGAUAUCGGGAGGAACACCAGAGGCGAAGGCGAUCCCCUGGGCCAUUACUGACGCUGAGGUGCGAAAGCGUGGGGAGCAAACAGG
rnacentral:rRNA from 2 species